UUUCUCCAUUAUUUUUUUUUCAUUUCACUUACUUAAGUUAUUUGAAAUUACUUUGAAACCUGAUAUGAAUCAUUAGGGUUUUGUGAUUGUGUUUGUGUUAUUCAGGUUUUGUGAUUGUGUUUGUGAAAUUACUUUAAAAUCUGGUUACGGCUUGUAUUUGUGUUAUUAGGGUUGUUGAAUCUGAAAUUUAGAAUUUUUGUGAUUGUGUUUGUAUAAUUGUGUGUAAUUUAUAAUUGUAAUUAACUUUUUACUAGUAAAAGAUGCUAAGGAACACCUUUCCUUGCCAUGGGAAGCUGCUCGACUGAUUCAUAAAUUACUGCAAGCAUUCAAAUUUGUUUUCCUUUUAUUUGCUUUUUACUCUUUAAUACAAUGUUAAGUUAAUGUUAAGUUAAUGUUAAUGGUUUAAUUUAUUGUGCUAAAGCUAGUCACAGAAAGCUUCCUUUGACUUGAAUUGUCUUAGUAAAUUGUGCGUAGAUAUAAUUCCCAGAAAAUUCGUGCACAUCAUAGUUUACUAGAAUUGAAUUUAGCUACUCAAAGACAGAUGGAGUCAGUAGCUGAUGCAACGUUGGAGGCAAAAAUAAAUAUAGCUCUGUGGAUAACUUUCUGUACAUAAAAUAUUAUUGGCUUUUCCUUUUGGGCUGUUCCCAAAAUAUUUGGGAGUGUACACAAAAUUGAAUUCAUGUUUUUUCAAAGUUAAUCCCACCUUUCUUGACAUAUCUAAGGACACAUUAGGAAGAUGGUUACAUCUAUUUUGUUUCAAUAAAAUGUGUACUGGUUUUAACCUCUUGUUUGUUUUGAGCUAGAGGGAUUAGUUUUUACUUAAGGUGGCAAAUGCUGGAUAAAUUUCAGCUCAUUAAUUAAAUUAAUGGUCAUUGAGAUUGAUUUUAAAGAGAACAAUCAUGAGAAGCAUGGGUGAUAUAAUCAAGUUCACGUACAGACCUGUUAAAAUUAGAUCUAAUUAGGAGUUUGUACGUUUUUAAAGUCCUUGUAAUGAAUAUAUAAUGGGAAGGAUUUCUAUUCUCUGAAGUUCUUUCUCGUGACUACCAAUUUCUUUGGUGUUCAAGUUUAUGGUUGACCAAGUCCGACUGCUUGCCACCCCAAGAUGGAAUAGAGCCCUAGGUUGGAAAAAUUGUAGAUAAAAGUUGUGUUGAGCAGUUAACAUUUCUUAUUGGUUAAGGUUGUAUUUUAUUAAAAUCGGAUUGAACCGGACUGGAAACUAGUAAAAUUGGAGUACUGGUUUAGGAGGAAAAUCGGUGUGUAAUCGGUUUUGGAAAAUGUAAAACUGGUGCCUAUCAGUUCUGUCCUAGAUUUUGUCAAAAACUGGACCGAAUUGAAUCGGUUACACCCCUAGUGCAUAUGAUGAGGUUUUGCCAUAGUAGAAUACAUCAACCUCUAUAAUUAGUCUACAUAGUAAGUGUUAUUGAUUUAUAUAAUUUAUUAGUAAUUGAAAGAGUUUAACUCAUUGCCGACUUAAGUAACAAAGUUUUGUUUGUAGGAAGAUUUUUUAAGAGCACUGGCAUUGGUCUAGCUAGAAUGAUUAGUAACAAUUGCCAGGCUCAUCAAAAUUUAGCUAGAAUGAUUAAAAUUCGUUUGCAUUAUUAAACUAGCCAAAGAACUUUCAGCUACAGCAAUUUCAUCUCCUCUUCUAAAUUUGGCCAGUCACUGUAGCUAUAUUAUUAUUUUUGCUACACUCCAACGUCUCUUAUCUCUCCCUCGAUUUUGAACUCCUACUUUCCCUUUCUUUCAUUUCUCUCCUCUUCUCUACGCCGAAGCUAUCCAUCUCCUUUCUCCCUCCCAAUCGCGACUGCAACAAUUUAUUUUUCACUUGCUCCAUUUUCUUUCUCUUCCUCCUCCUCUCACGCCGAAAGUUCCAUUUUCUUUCCUUCCAAUCGACGGCUUCCAUUUGCAUCGUCUCCCUUCCAUUUCCUUUCCCUCCCUCUCAUUUUAGUUCAUUUCCAUUUGCAGAGAAAUCUUACCCAGCGUCCAUUCUUCCAUUUGCGUAUCUGGAGUCACAAGAGUAAAUUAGACCCAAGAUUUUUUUUUUUGAUAAGUAAAUUACACCCAAGAUUUUGCACACAAGAUUUUGCCCUAGACUGCUGAGAUCAACACAGAGGGACACUUGACGAUUGUUGGCUUCACAAGGGUUUACUUGGUUUUGUUUGAGUUGCUGGUGCAUGGCUGCACGUGAGCCAUUUUUGGAGAAACUCCAUUUUCUUUGAAAUAGCCUUUUUUGGGCUUAGAUUUUGUUAUAGCUGAGGCCAGGAGGUAUGGGAUUAAGCUCAUAUUGAGCUUGGCGAACAACUACAACAGCUUUGGAGGGAAAAAACAGUAUGUGAACUGGGUGAACUGGGCAAGAAAUCAGGGGCAGUACCUGUCAUCUGAAGAUGAUUGUUUUAGGAAUCCUGUCAUUAAGGGUUACUACAAGAACCAUAUAAAGACUGUUCUGUCCAGAUAUAACAGCUAUACUGGAGUUCAUUACAAAGAUGAGCCAACAAUCAUGGCCUGGGAGCUUAUGAAUGAACCUAGAUGCACGUCGGAUCCUUCAGGGAGGACUAUUCAGGUUAUAGAGAUUUAGAAGACAUUCAAACUACUUUUGGGUAAGCGAUUUGCAUGACGGCCAUACAAACAUGGUUUUACCCAUUAGGAGUCCUUUCAGGAGAUUUUUUACGGCAUCAGCCCUUGCUUAUACUGAAUAUGGAGACCUCUUGGUUUCAGAGCUAAAACGUACCUGCAUAAUUCCAAAAACCCAUUCUGUUAAUGAUGUAGAUAUGCCUGAAGUCAAUGCCCAACUUAAGCAGCUAGUGAAAACCGGUCAUUUGAGCGAUGCUCGCUCAAUGUUCGAUAAAAUGCCAUACCGAGAUGAGAUUACAUGGACCAAUAUGAUUUCUGCCUAUGUCAAUGCCUCAGAUUCCUCUGAAGCGUUAGAUAUGUUCUCAAAUAUGUGCGUUCAACCAGGACUUCAAAUGGACCACUUCACGCUUAGUCUUGCGCUCAAGGCUUGUGCACUCAUUAUGAACUUGUAUUAUGGGGAACUGUUACAUGGGUAUUCAGUGAAAUCUGGUUUUGUUAAUUCGGUUUUUGUUGGGAGUGCCCUUCUUGACAUGUAUGCCAAGAUUGGUAAAAUUGAGCAAGGUUGUAGAGUUUUUGAUGAGAUGCCAAUAAGAAAUGUUGUCUCUUGGACAGCCAUUAUAACUGGGCUUGUUCGAGCAGGUUAUAAUAUGGAGGGCUUGGUUUACUUUUGUGAAAUGCAGAGGUCAAAGGUGGAGUAUGAUGCAUAUUCAUUUGCUAUUGCAUUGAAGGCAUGUGCCAAUGCUGGUGCUCUGAACUACGGGAGGGUGAUUCAUGCAAAAACAAUGAAAAAAGGGUUCAAUGAGAGCUCAUUUGUGGCUAACACUCUUGCUACCAUGUACUACAAAUGUGGAAAGUUAGACUAUGGCAUGCGCUUGUUUGAGAAGAUGAGGACGCAGGACGUGGUUUCAUGGACAACCAUUAUAACAACCUAUGUUCAGAUGGGUCAGGGGGAGCAUGCAAUUGAAGCAUUUAUGAAAAUGAAGGAAUCAGAUGUGAGUCCUAAUGAGUACACUUUUGCAGCUCUUAUCUGUGGUGUUGCCAAUCUUGCAAGAAUUGAAUGGGGUGAACAAUUACAUGCGCAUGUUUUACGUGUAGGUUUUGUUGAUUUUUUAUCAGUGGCAAAUUCCAUCAUGACUAUGUAUUCAAAAUGUGGGCAGUUGACUUCAGCUUCAUUGGUCUUUCAUGGCAUGACCAGGAAAGAUGUUAUUUCAUGGAGUACUAUAAUUGCUGCGUAUUCUCAAGGAGGUUAUGGGGAAGAAGCCUUUGAGUAUUUAUCGUGGAUGAGAAAGGAAGGACCAAAACCGAAUGAGUUUGCUUUUUCCAGCAUCCUUAGUGUAUGUGGAAGUAUGGCCAUUCUUGAGCAAGGGAAGCAACUGCAUGCUCGUGUCUUGUCUGUCGGGUUAGAAUGGACAGCUCUGAUACAAAGUGCUCUAAUCAAUAUGUAUUCUAAAUGUGGGAGUAUAAAAGAAGCUUCGAAAAUUUUUGACGUGAUGGAAAAUGAUGACAUUGUCUCAUGGACUGCCAUGAUCAUUGGUUAUGCUGAACAUGGGCUCAGCCAAGAAGCCAUUGAUGUGUUUGAGAAGAUUCCCAAAGUUGGUUUAAGACCUGAUGCUGUGAGCUUCAUAGGCGUUCUUACUGCUUGUAGCCAUGCUGGACUUGCUGAUCUUGGCUUCCACUACUUCAAUUUGAUGACUAAUAAAUAUCGGAUAAAUCCUUCAAAAGAACAUUAUGGCUGCAUGAUUGAUCUCCUUUGCCGAGCUGGACGAUUAAGUGAUGCAGAGAACAUGAUAAAACACAUGCCAUUUCAACGGGAUGAUGUUGUUUGGUCUACACUGCUGAGAGCUUGUAGAGUACAAGGAGAUGUUGACUGUGGAAUACGUAGUGCAGAGGAGAUUCUUAAAUUAGAUCCAAGUAGUGCUGGAGCUCAUAUUACUCUUGCUAACAUUUAUGCCACAAGAGGGAGAUGGACGGAAGCAGCAAAUCUAAGGAAGAUGAUGAAAGCAAAAGGGGUGGUCAAGGAGCCAGGAUGGUCUUGGAUUAAGGUCAAUGACCAGGUUUCUGCAUUUCUUGCUGGGGAUCGCUCUCAUCCCCAAGGUGAAUAUAUAUACAGUAUGUUGGACUUACUAGCUUCAAGGACAGAAAUUGCAAUUCAGGAAGUGGGUUCUAUUUCAAAUAAUGUUGAAGGAUAUGAAAACUUGCAUUUCGAAUUCAAAGCGCCCGCGUUCUCGUCCUCUGCCCAGCACCUACCACCCGCGCCGCCCCUCCAGCGUUGCCCCUCGUUGGCUCCUCGAUCUGUCCAGCCUCAGCUCAUUUCGCCACGCCUCUGCUCGUGAGCUCUGUUUUGCCGCGCCUCUGCUCAGCUUCGUAGGUGAAUUUUGGUGCAAAUUUUGAGUUUUGUGAGAUGGGUAUUGCGGCUUUGGAAGAAGUAAUAUCUCCCGUCAUAGGAGAAGUAAUCACCGGUAUUUCCCACCUUUGGAAGACGCAACAACAUUCUAGUUUCUCGAUUUCUCCAUUCCUUUUCAGUUCCGUUAUGCCUCCCUUGAAAAAUUUAGGGUUCCCGAAUUGCCACCAGUGAUGUUGGAGCUGAGCUGGAGACACCAGACCCUCGUUCAAGCGUGGCCCUCUCAAGGUCGAUAAGUUCCAUUCCAUCUUCACUGCCCUCACUGGCAAAAACUCAGAUGCCGUUGGUUCUCUCUCUUCUUCUUGUAUUUUUACAUUUACAAUCCUUUUUCCCUUUCGUCCUUGCAAUUGACCCACUCAACCUAAAAACCACGACUUCCUGUGGUUCUCGAAGUUCGACAGAAAUUGACUACCAUGAUCAAGCUAGCAUCUGUGAUAACAGAUUAUCUCUUACAUCUCCAUCAGCAGCAUCUCUUUGUUUAUGUGAUUUAGGUUGUCAUAUUUGAUACAGGUGCUCAUAAACAGCUAUUUGAUGAAUUUACUUUGUUCAGUGUGAGUUACGGAGCUUCUGAAACCAAUAUGAUGGACGGAUUUACUAUGGGGUGGUCAAUAAUAUUUCUAACGACAGUCCAAGCUGGGAACGCAAUAUUCGGCUCCCCAAAUUGCUUUCUUCAAGGCAAUUGUAAAGCUGGUUAAAACUUAUACUAAAUUGAAAGAAGUUUUUAUUUUCUAAUGUGGUUAGUGGACAAUAUUAGUUGAUGCAACACUCAUUAUUUUCAGUCAUUGUUUUUGUGGGAUGGAAUUCUGCUAAGAUUUUUGUGUUAGAUACUCUACAACUUGAAAUGAUCAACCCAAUAUGAAAAUUAUGUUGCAGAUGGUAAAACAUUACUUGGGUAUACUUACAACUUGAUUGUUGCCAUUUUUUUAUUUUA